rnacentral:rRNA from 1 species
AGUGAACGCUGGCGGUAGGCCUAACACAUGCAAGUCGAACGGCAGCACAGUAAGAGCUUGCCCUUACGGGUGGCGAGUGGCGGACGGGUGAGGAAUACAUCGGAAUCUACUUUUUCGUGGGGGAUAACGUAGGGAAACUUACGCUAAUACCGCAUACGACCUACGGGUGAAAGCAGGGGAUCUUCGGACCUUGCGCGAUUGAAUGAGCCGAUGUCGGAUUAGCUAGUUGGCGGGGUAAAGGCCCACCAAGGCGACGAUCCGUAGCUGGUCUGAGAGGAUGAUCAGCCACACUGGAACUUAGACACGGUCCAGACUCCUACGGGAGGCAGCAGUGGGGAAUAUUGGACAAUGGGCGCAAGCCUGAUCCAGCCAUACCGCGUGGGUGAAGAAGGCCUUCGGGUUGUAAAGCCCUUUUGUUGGGAAAGAAAAGCAGCAGGUUAAUACCCCGCUGUUCUGACGGUACCCAAAGAAUAAGCACCGGCUAACUUCGUG